GAAAUAGCUUCACUUUCUGCACUUGCUGUAUGUCAUUAUCUCCCACCUCAAUCCCUUUUAAUCUGGAAGGGAAGCCCUUUUGGUUAUUCUCAAUAGGCUCAAAAUAGCAAACUGUAACCGUCCUGUUUACAUGUACCCUGCCCUGCCACUGACCCAGAAAGUACAAGGGGUGUAGAGAUGGCAGAGUAAACUAGUCACAGUGACAGGCAAGAUGGGAAUGAGCAGGGGAUGUGAGGAGCUAAGAAGGUGACCAAUUUUAAAGUCUGCAGGAUAAAAUGAAUUUUUUUUUUUUAAAAAAGCAAAAACUCUGAGUUCAAACAAUGAAAAGGAAAAUAAGACUCAAUGGAAGUCAUGGACUAUUCUAGACUAUAUUGUAUGAGAAGAUUUAGAGCAAUGCUAGCUCCAGGCCAUGGAACUUUGACUAAGAGGACAGAGAAGACACAAAGGAACGUAGGAUUAUGUUGGGAGACUGGAGAGACCCUGGAAAGGAGAAACCCCAGGAAGAAAUAGCUGUUAAAAAUAAGGAAAUAACCGCUCAGGAAACCUUCUUAUAGACCUUCCCUGGAUCACAUUUUGCUCCAAAGACUAAAGUCAAAUGGAACUGCGUAAUGACUGAAAUGCUAACGGUGUCUUCCAAUGACCAGAGGAAAGGAAAAAUGAUUUAAAAAUUGGUGUCAGCUAAGAAUGUUGAAAUGAAAUGACCCUCUGACCAUGAAGUCUUAUUAUUUUUUUUCAGCAGGGAAUCCAUUUAAAUUUGCUAUUUUUCAAAUGAAUUCAGAUCCUGCCUUCUUACCAAUUUAUAUAUUUAAAGCCCUCAAUUUGUAAUGUUUCUACCAUAAUUCCUUGUUUGGUAAAUCCUAUGGCUUAAGGAGCAGACUUAACAUAGGACAUUUCACUAAACAGUGGAAAUCCUGGACUAGUAUAGGUAUUUUCAUAUGUAUAAAAGAAAAACUCAGUCACUAAAAAUAAAAGACUUUCCACAAUAAGAAUGUCAGUUUGUUUGAAGAUUUAUAUAUUCUUAAAACUUUUCUAAUAACUUGCUUACUUUAAAUAACAAAUGUUUGCAAAAGGAAAAAGGGUUAAAAGCCUAAAUCUAGAAAUAGCCUGUUAAGAAAGCAGU
rnacentral:lncRNA from 1 species